GAUGAGCGCUGGCGGCGUGCCUAAUACAUGCAAGUCGAGCGAACGGACGAGAAGCUUGCUUCUCUGAUGUUAGCGGCGGACGGGUGAGUAACACGUGGAUAACCUACCUAUAAGACUGGGAUAACUUCGGGAAACCGUAGCUAAUACCGGAUAAUAUUUUGAACCGCAUGGUUCAAAAGUGAAAGACGGUCUUGCUGUCACUUAUAGAUGGAUCCGCGCUGCAUUAGCUAGUUGGUAAGGUAACGGCUUACCAAGGCAACGAUGCAUAGCCGACCUGAGAGGGUGAUCGGCCACACUGGAACUGAGACACGGUCCAGACUCCUACGGGAGGCAGCAGUAGGGAAUCUUCCGCAAUGGGCGAAAGCCUGACGGAGCAACGCCGCGUGAGUGAUGGAGGUCUUCGGAUCGUAAAACUCUGUUAUUAGGGAAGAACAUAUGUGUAAGUAACUGUGCACAUCUUGACGGUACCUAAUCAGAAAGCCACGGCUAACUACGUG
rnacentral:rRNA from 1 species